rnacentral:rRNA from 1 species
UACGUAGGUGGCAAGCGUUGUCCGGAUUUAUUGGGGUUAAAGGGUGCGUAGGUGGUCUAUUAAGUCAGUGCUGAAAUAUCCCGGCUUAACCGGGAGGGUGGCAUUGAUACUGAUGGACUUGAGUAAAGUUGAGGUAGGCGGAAUUGACGGUGUAGCGGUGAAAUGCUUAGAUAUCGUCAAGAACACCUAUAGCGAAGGCAGCUUACUAAGCUUUAACUGACGCUGAGGCACGAAAGUGUGGGGAUCAAACAGG